rnacentral:pre_miRNA from 1 species
UGACCUGAAUCAGGUAGGCAGUGUAUUGUUAGCUGGCUGCUUUGGAUCAGUUCAGCAGCCGGGACUACCUGCCACCUGCUUCUGGAUAAAUUCAUCU